rnacentral:rRNA from 1 species
CCCUUAGACGCCCUAGGCGGCACGCGCGCUACAAUGGGUGGUAGAACGUGUAACUGCUCCCGAAAGGGAGGGUGAACCACGAAUACUUACCCGUGAAUGGGAUAGUUUGUUGCAAUUUUCGGACUUGAACUAGGAAUCCCUUGUAAGAAUGCUCAAGAAUAGCGUGCUGAAUACGUCCCUGCCGUUUGUACACACCGCCCGUCGUUUCUUCCGACUGAUACUCAUUGUGAGUUGCAAGGAUUCUUAUUGAAAAAUUGCUGCGAAUGCUUCGUAUUGGAGGAAGAAAAAGUCGUAACA